rnacentral:rRNA from 1 species
UAGGGAAUCUUCCACAAUGGGCGCAAGCCUGAUGGAGCAACACCGCGUGAGUGAAGAAGGGUUUCGGCUCGUAAAGCUCUGUUGUUGGAGAAGAACGUGCGUGAGAGUAACUGUUCCCGNAGUGCUGGUAUCCAACCAGAAAGUCACUGCGCAGUACGUGCCAGCAGCCGCGGUAAUACGUAGGUGGCAAGCGUUGUCCGGAUUUAUUGGGCGUAAAGCGAGCGCAGGCGGUUGCUUAGGUCUGAUGUGAAAGCCUUCGGCUUAACCGAAGAAGUGCAUCGGAAACCGGGCGACUUGAGUGCAGAAGAGGACAGUGGAACUCCAUGUGUAGCGGUGGAAUGCGUAGAUAUAUGGAAGAACACCAGUGGCGAAGGCGGCUGUCUGGUCUGCAACUGACGCUGAGGCUCGAAAGCAUGGGUAGCGAACAGG